rnacentral:rRNA from 1 species
GACGAACGCUGGCGGCGUGCUUAACACAUGCAAGUCGAACGAAGUGGCGAACGGGUGAGUAACGCGUAAUCCACCUGCCCUUCAGAGGGGGAGAACAGUUGGAAACGACUGCUAAUACCGCAUACUGAAGGAGGGGAUUGCGUCUGAUUAGCUCGUUGGAGGGGUAACGGCCCACAAAGGCGAUGAUCAGUAGCCGGUCUGAGAGGAUGAACGGCAACGUUGGGACUGAGAAACGGCCCAGACUCCUACGGGAGGCAGCAGGGGGGAAGCUUCCGCAAUGGAGGAAAGUCUGACGGAGCAACGCCGGGUGAGUGAUGACGGGCCUCGGGUUGUAAAGCUCUGUUAAUCGGGACGCGGUACCGGAAUAGAAAGCCACGGCUAACUACGUGCCAGCAGCCGCGGUAAUUC